GCAGACUUCCGCUAUGGACUUGUACGUGUUCGGGAAAAUGCUGAAUCAAUUGCUUUCUAUGGCGGUGAAGAAAAUGAAAUGCAACUUCUGCUGCAGCGCUUCAGAAGUGCUUUUGAAAAUUUAACACAAUUGUUGAUAUCUUCUAGAAAUCUAGAGUUNNUACCGGUACUUAAUUCAAAUUCUUCCCGCUGCUGUUGUUGCUCCUAUGUAUUUCUCAGGCAAAAUUGAGUUUGGUGUUAUUAAUCAGUCAGUAUCUGCUUUUAACCAUAUCCUUGGAGAUUUUUCUCUCAUUGUUUACCAGUUUCAAUCCAUCAGUGCUUUUUCAGCCGUCAUUGAUCGAUUAGGUGAAUUUGAUGAUGUCUUGGAUAGCAGCAGCUCUAAGCAACUGCCUGAGUUAUCAGAAGAGAUUUCUCUUUCAUACUGCAAUUAUAGAAGUUCACUCAUUUUGGAGUUUAAUGGGUCUAUUCCAGUUGACAGUCGCCAAAAAUUGCUUAGUAUAGAGAAUUUGACUCUACAGACACC
rnacentral:misc_RNA from 1 species